rnacentral:misc_RNA from 1 species
UUUCUUUUACAAUAUGCUGAAAAAGUUGUUACCAUUGUGUUCAAAACAAUCUUAGCCUUUGUCAGGUCAGUGGCUGUACAUUCAAUGAAAACAUUCUUUGUCUUCAAAGUGAUAGCUGAAUGUGCACCAUUAAUAAUUGGCGGCAGAGAUAAGACAGUUCUGUUACUGUCAUAUAAGACAGGGAACACUGGUGAGUUCUCAAUUAUAUGCAAAAAUUUCUUCAGCUUCAAAUCAUGCUCCCGGUAAAACUCCAUCAGCUCAUCAGCUCUGUAUUUUUU